GAUGAACGCUGGCGGCGUGCCUAAUACAUGCAAGUCGAGCGAACAGACGAGGAGCUUGCUCCUCUGACGUUAGCGGCGGACGGGUGAGUAACACGUGGAUAACCUACCUAUAAGACUGGGAUAACUUCGGGAAACCGGAGCUAAUACCGGAUAAUAUAUUGCACCGCAUGGUUCAAUAGUGAAAGACGGUUUUGCUGUCACUUAUAGAUGGAUCCGCGCCGCAUUAGCUAGUUGGUAAGGUAACGGCUUACCAAGGCAACGAUGCGUAGCCGACCUGAGAGGGUGAUCGGCCACACUGGAACUGAGACACGGUCCAGACUCCUACGGGAGGCAGCAGUAGGGAAUCUUCCGCAAUGGGCGAAAGCAUGACGGAGCAACGCCGCGUGAGUGAUGAAGGUCUUCGGAGCGUAAAACUCUGUUAUUAGGGAAGAACAAAUGUGUAAGUAACUAUGCACGUCUUGACGGUACCUAAUCAGAAAGCCACGGCUAACUACGUG
rnacentral:rRNA from 1 species